rnacentral:rRNA from 1 species
UAGGUGAACCUGCGGAGGGAUCAUUACCGAGUCUUACAACUCCCAAACCCCUGUGAACAUACCAAUUGUUGCCUCGGCGGAUCAGCCCGCUCCCGGUAAAACGGGACGGCCCGCCAGAGGACCCCUAAACUCUGUUUCUAUAUGUAACUUCUGAGUAAAACCAUAAAUAAAUCAAAACUUUCAACAACGGAUCUCUUGGUUCUGGCAUCGAUGAAGAACGCAGCAAAAUGCGAUAAGUAAUGUGAAUUGCAGAAUUCAGUGAAUCAUCGAAUCUUUGAACGCACAUUGCGCCCGCCAGUAUUCUGGCGGGCAUGCCUGUUCGAGCGUCAUUUCAACCCUCAAGCCCAGCUUGGUGUUGGGACUCGCGAGUCAAAUCGCGUUCCCCAAAUUGAUUGGCGGUCACGUCGAGCUUCCAUAGCGUAGUAGUAAAACCCUCGUUACUGGUAAUCGUCGCGGCCACGCCGUUAAACCCCAACUUCUGAAUGUUGACCUCGGAUCAGGUAGGAAUACCCGCUGAACUUAAGCAUAUCAAUAA